AGUGAACGCUGGCGGUAGGCCUAACACAUGCAAGUCGAACGGCAACACAGGACAGCUUGCUCGUUCGCUGGCGAGUGGCGGACGGGUGAGGAAUACAUCGGAAUCUGCCCAGUCGUGGGGGAUAACGUAGGGAAACGGACGCUAAUACCGCAUACGACCUUCGGGUGAAAGAGGGGGAUCGCAAGACCUCUCGCGAUUGGAUGAGCCCAUGUGGGAUUAGCUUGUUGGCGGGGUAAUGGCCCACCAAGGCGACGAUCCGUAGCUGGUCUGAGAGGAUGAUCAGCCACACUGGAACUGAGACACGGUCCAGACUCCUACGGGAGGCAGCAGUGGGGAAUAUUGGACAAUGGGCGCAAGCCUGAUCCAGCCAUACCGCGUGUGUGAAGAAGGCCUUCGGGUUGUAAAGCCCGUUUGUUGGGAAAGAAAGGUUUCAGGCUAAUACCCUGGGAGAAUGACGGUACCCGAAGAAGAAGCACCGGCUAACUUCGUG
rnacentral:rRNA from 1 species